rnacentral:lncRNA from 1 species
GAGAAACUAAUUAUUGAUCACUUAUUAUUUCACUCCAAGUAUAUAUCUCAACUUUGCAACUGUAGCACUGCCCUACCAUAUAUAUAAUACAUUAAGAAAGUUGACAAAGCGGCAAUCUUCCUGCUGACAUGUGGUAACAUCUUAAACUUUGGCUUAACAAUCAUAUUUUAUGUUAUGGAAGGUCGCAUCUUCUAAAUCUCGCAUAUGGACUCUUGGUGCCUGAACGAUGCAGACUUGCAGCUAUGUUUUCUCUCUAAAUUUAUCAGGAUUUUAGCCGAAAUUUAAGAAUAUGAUUCUUUGUUGGAAGGUAAAGGGUGUCCUGACAGGCUUACAUGAACAAAGCAGGGAAGAGGAACACAGAGCAGACAGCUACCUUAGACUUCCAGCAUAAUUUUAGGUUAUACUAGAAGUUUUUGUACAGGAGAUACUUCAUCCGGUUGGCACAUCUCGCAACAAGAACUCCAUAAACGCAAACGUUUCUACAAAUUGAUGAGACAAACUGAUAUGCAGCGAGCAAUUGCUGCAAUCUUAGCGGAUUUAAGGGAUGGCACGCAAAGCACUAAUGAAAAC